rnacentral:rRNA from 1 species
UACGUAGGGGGCUAGCGUUGUCCGGAAUCAUUGGGCGUAAAGCGCGUGUAGGCGGUUCGGUAAGUCCGCUGUGAAAGUCGGGGGCUCAACCCUCGGAUGCCGGUGGAUACUGUCGAGCUUGAGUACGGAAGAGGCGAGUGGAAUUCCUGGUGUAGCGGUGAAAUGCGCAGAUAUCGGGAGGAACACCUAUGGCGAAGGCAGCUCGCUGGGACGUUACUGACGCUGAGACGCGAAAGCGUGGGGAGCAAACAGG